GUGCUUGCUUUCUUAGCACAUAUACUAAAAUUGGAAUGAUGCAGAGAAGAUUAGCAGGGAGAAUGUGGUUACCAAGUCAAAAUUUAGUAAUUUGUAUUGUUUUU